CUCAUGAGCAAAAAUUUGUAAACACUAAACUCAUUUCAAUUUACUUACCCACUGUGCUCAUAAGGGAUUCUAAAAAUACAUACAGAUAAAGAUUAACUAACCAUUACAUGGUAACUAAUUUUCAGCUAUUUCUAGGGUUCGUUCAUUCUUGCUAUCACCUAAACUAUUCUUAUGUUCCAAACAUUUGGUGAUAAAAACAUAGCAGUUACAAAUGUUUACAAAUAUUUAGUGAUUGCAUUUAGCAAUUAUGGUCAAUGGAAUACCCAUAUUGAUAAUAUUAUAUCAAGUCCAUCUACGAAUAGCAAUAUGCUGAGAAAACUGAAAGACUCAGUUUAUA
rnacentral:lncRNA from 1 species